rnacentral:rRNA from 1 species
GAUGAACGCUGGCGGCGUGCCUAAUACAUGCAAGUAGAACGCUGAAGCUUGGUGCUUGCACCGAGCGGAUGAGUUGCGAACGGGUGAGUAACGCGUAGGUAACCUGCCUCUUAGCGGGGGAUAACUAUUGGAAACGAUAGCUAAUACCGCAUAAAAGACGAUAUCGCAUGAUAUUGAUUUGAAAGGUGCAAUUGCAUCACUAAGAGAUGGACCUGCGUUGUAUUAGCUAGUUGGUGAGGUAACGGCUCACCAAGGCGACGAUACAUAGCCGACCUGAGAGGGUGAUCGGCCACACUGGGACUGAGACACGGCCCAGACUCCUACGGGAGGCAGCAGUAGGGAAUCUUCGGCAAUGGGGGCAACCCUGACCGAGCAACGCCGCGUGAGUGAAGAAGGUUUUCGGAUCGUAAAGCUCUGUUGUAAGAGAAGAACGAGUGUGAGAGUGGAAAGUUCACACUGUGACGGUAACUUACCAAAAGGCG